CGGACCGGACGGCGCCAUGGGUUGCUUCGGUAGCGUCCGUGAUUCCUGGGUUGUUGUUGAGUAUAGGGCUGUGCCGAUUUUUUUAAAAUGCAGUCUGUCUGCGAUUAAAUAGCCCGUCGCAACAACUACACCAAACUUUCUCUGCGUCAAGCAAGUACAACUCAUGGUUAUUCAACUCAAAAUAAGCGCCCUGUUUUCAUUGUUAUGAGCCAAUCAAAUCAGACCACACCUAUCUUUCUCUAUCUUUCUAGCUAUGUCUCUUUUGCCUUCUUUUUAUCUACCGAUCAAAUUAGGUCUGGCUCUGGCAGCAGUUUUAAAGGUUACAUUGCAAUAUAUUUCCAGACUUAACCUUAUUGUCAAUCACCUUUCCAAACCAGAGGUAUUAGUUACUUUUGAUUACACCUUCAUAAUUGUAUACACUAUAUGUAUAUACAGUUAUUUUAUUAGUUAUUUUGCAGGUGAGUAAAAAAAACAAUGUAUCUUCUCUUCUCCUCCUCCACUUUAGCGUUGCACUCCAGAUAGUCCAGCCAAAUUCCCAGGCCUAGUUCCAAGCCCGCUCGAUAGUGUGGUUUUAAUCAGAACAAAGCAUGCCCCUGGUUUGUGUUUCUUGCACAUCAGACACGGGUCUGUUAGUCUGCCGUUUUACGGGCUUUAAACAAGAGUUAGAAAAAAGGGAUGCUAGCUAUUUGGCAAGUAACACAAAACCAAACCAAAACCUGUAGUAGAAUUUUUUGAAAAAAUCCUUAGAAAACAAUUUAUUCUGAAGCUGCUGAACGUUCAACAUCCAAAAGCAGAUGUUGAAUGAUAUGAUGAGUGAUGAGAUUGAAUGAUGAGAUACAUGGCUAUGUGGAUUAAACAAUCAAAUAUGUUUGCACAAAGAAUCAAAUGAUAUUCAUGGAGGGAGGGACAGAUAGAUGGAUAGGUAAUUGGGACCGCUUGUUCUUGACCAAUCAAAAAGGUACUCACAACACACCAGAUUGGGUGUCAUUAGAGCGAUUCCGACCAAAUGGGGUCUGCCCAGAGUGGGUCAGACCAGGGUUCUGUUGAGAGACAGACAGUUUUUGGUUCUCAGCCCGGUAGCGUGGGGCUGUCUGUCUCUGGGUGGCGCUCCACGUCAGCCCCCCUGCCGUGAACCAGAUCUCCUCAUGUGGCAGAGUAACACCGGAGCCGGCGGCGGACCCCUGCAGCUGCCGCUGUGUAGUAUGUCAGCAUGUCAACGUGUGGGAACGGCGGGGACAGCGAGCCUUACUGUUUACUGGGUGCUUUGGAUUCUGGGAAGGGAGACCCAGAUAGUAGGAAAAGGAUUUGUUGAUUUGUUGGUGUGUGCAACUGUAC